rnacentral:rRNA from 1 species
UGAAUGUUAAAAUUAAAGUUGAAUAUUAUUAGUUAUAAUCAUUAUUAAUCUAAAUUCUAUUGGACUUUUUUGAGGAUAAGCUCGAAAAUUGCUGUUGAGAACUGUAUAAUAAAAAUUUUAUUAUGUGGGCUUAAGAUUAGUCAUCAUAAAAGUUUGUUAUAAAAUAGUGAAAAUAUAUAAAAAUAUUUCUAUACGUAAUGCCAUGUUAAACUAUAAGAAUAAUAAUCUAAAUCAAUAGGCUAGUACACCUAUGCUAGGAUGAGUAUUAAAAUUACCGUAGGAAAAAUUAAAGAUUUUCUUAAAAAUUACUUCUAACAUUAAUUAAAGAUAAGGAAUUCGGCAAAUGUUGUUCCGCCUGUUUAUCAAAAACAUGGCUCUUUGAAAAAAAUAUAUAAAGAGUCGAACCUGCCCAGUGAAAUUUUUUAACGGCCGCGGUACCCUGACCGUGCAAAGGUAGCAUAAUCACUUGCCCUAUAAUUGAGGGCUGGCAUGAAUGGUCUGACGAGAACUGCACUGUCUCUUCUUUAUUAUUUAGAAAUUAACCUAUAGGUGAAGAGGCCUAUAUUAUAUUGAAGGACAAGAAGACCCUGUCGAGCUUAAAAGUAAAGUAAAAUAACAGUUAUAAAAAAAUCAAUAAUUACAUAGCUUUUUAGUUGGGGCGACUAAGGAACAAAUAAAGCUUCUUUUAUUUCUAUAAAUUAACAGAUCUUGAUCCAGCUAACGCUGAUUAGAGGAAUUAGUUACCGCAGGGAUAACAGCAUAAUCUCCUUUAAGAGACCUAAUCGAAAAGGGGGGUUGUGACCUCGAUGUUGGACUAGAAUAUCCUGAAGAUGCAGACGUCU